rnacentral:ncRNA from 1 species
UAAAGGGAAUGAUGUUCUCCCGGGGCUUUAGCCCGAACCGCUUUUAAUUUAAGGAUUUUAAGCUGAUGACUUCUGCAUU